AUAACUGCUAUGAGAGGCCAAAGAAGAGCAUUCUUAUAAGCUAUUUACAGAAUACUUAUUUGGUAAAGGAGAAUCACCCCCUUGGUCUUCAACAAAUAAGAGCUUGAUGCAAGAAGAACUUUGAAACAUUUGGUAGAGCAACAUGCGACUGGUCAAAAUAUUCACCCUAAGCACACAAAAAAACCAAGCGUUAAGAUUUACUGGAUCAAAUAACUUGCAGCAGAACAUGGCUUUAUCAGAACCCAGGAGACCCUUCCCAUGGAAGCUGUUCUACUGGCACAAUCACUUUGAAGACCUUAAUUCAAAUUUUUGCAAUAAAUGAAGUAAGGAGUUACGGUAUUAAAUGAAAAAUCUCUAAACUUCUGCUAGGACUCUUUCUGUCCUUCAGUACUGGACAGGUAACUGUAGUACUGAUGUCCUCUCUCAGUAGCAGUCAGAGAUCUUCAGCAUAAUUUACUUAGGAAUGGGGAAAGAGGGACUGUUGGGUGUUUCGUUGUUGUGUUCUGUGUAGGUUUUCUGUUUUGAGUGUUUUUUGGUUUGUUUUUUAAUCAUAGUCCCAGCACAGGAAACAUAGGAUUUAUCCCUUCAGGUCAGCAUUCCAGUGAAAAGUGAGCUUUCAAAGGUAUGAGAAAGAUGAGGGAAAUACCAAAAGCAGAACAAGCAUAACUUUGGAUCUGUUUUUCAUCUUCAUUAUGGAUAAUGUUAUUCCAAAACAGAUAAUACUUCUACUGAACUAUACAGUAUACACCUUUAAUAUUGUAUGUAGCUCAUGCUAGGAAUACAUCAGAACUAUGAUAACCCUAAACCCACUGCAGGCCUUGAUCUGUUCUGUAUGGAAAAGUAACAACUUUAACCACUGCAAAUAUUUAACUAUGCUAGUAGAUCUACCAGCUCUUGUGUUAGAAGAACUUUAUCAACAGUGUUGCUGUCCCACAAAGAGAAAGUACUAGAGACAGAUAGCAAAGGAGAGCCACCAUAUGCUAAACAGUAUAUUCUAACAGGUUAUACUAGUUUCACCAUUGGCUCUGCACAGCUCUAAUACUGAGGAGAAUGAGAGGCAACAUCUGAAUACAUCCUGAUAACAAAAUCAAGGGAGCUACAUCAUCUUGAUCUGCUGGUUCCCUAAACAUGCAUAUGCAAUACAGCACAGCAUUUCUCUUGGACAUACUCUGUACUGUGUAUCAAGCAGUUCUUGGACGUACUUGUCCAAUUAUGUACAUUUCAGGAGUUUUUCUACUUCUUAUUGUUUUCCCUGCUUUCAUCUAUUACCCUGCUUAAAUAUUAAGUACUUGUGUUUUAUCUGUGUUGUUCUGUUCAGAAAAAAAAUGCAGAAGGAUUUAAUACA